rnacentral:misc_RNA from 1 species
AACGCACAUUGCGCCUCCUGGUAUUCCGGGAGGCAUGCCUGUCUGAGCGUCAUUAAGACCUCCUCAAGCGCUUUGGUGACACUGGGCUUGGUAUUGGGGUUGGACUGACUUCUGUCUCUCCUCCCCGAAAUCCAUUGGCGGAGACCACACUGCACUGGACGUAGUAAGUCAUUCUCGUUGAGUAGUUAGUGUGAGCUUUCUUGCCGUUAACCCCCAACUUUUAACUGGUUGGCCUCAGAUCAGGUAGGGAUACCCGCUGAACUUAA